AUUUUUAUCCAUCUACGUGGCGAUUUGCUACUUUAUGGCAGUUGCACUUAAUAUCUUAUGAGUCCGCAGCGAAAGC
rnacentral:tRNA from 1 species